rnacentral:rRNA from 1 species
GGCGAACGCUGGCGGCGUGCCUAAUACAUGCAAGUCGAGCGAGCGGAACCAACAGAUUUACUUCGGUAAUGACGUUGGGAAAGCGAGCGGCGGAUGGGUGAGUAACGCGUGAGCAACCUGCCUUAAAGAGGGGGAUAACGUCUGGAAACGGACGCUAAUACCGCAUAACAUAUUGUUUUCGCAUGGAGAUGAUAUCAAAGGAGCAAUCCGCUUUAAGAUGGACUCGCGUCCAAUUAGCUAGUUGGUGAGGUAACGGCCCACCAAGGCGACGAUUGGUAGCCGGACUGAGAGGUUGAACGGCCACAUUGGGACUGAGACACGGCCCAG